UACAGAGGUCCCAAGCGUUGUUCGGAUUCAUUGGGCGUAAAGGGUGUGUAGGUGGCGCCGUAAGUCGGGUGUGAAAUUUCGGAGCUUAACUCCGAAACUGCAUUCGAUACUGCGGUGCUUGAGGACUGGAGAGGAGACUGGAAUUCAUGGUGUAGCAGUGAAAUGCGUAGAGAUCAUGAGGAAGACCAGUGGCGAAGGCGGGUCUCUGGGCCGUAACUGACGCUGAGGAGCGAAAGCAUGGGGAGCGAACAGG
rnacentral:rRNA from 1 species